UACAGAGGGUGCAAGCGUUAAUCGGAAUUACUGGGCGUAAAGCGCGCGUAGUCGGUUAUCUAAGUCGGGUGUGAAAUCCCCGGGCUCAACCUGGGAAUUGCAUUCGAUACUGGAUAGCUAGAGUUCGGCAGAGGGAAGCGGAAUUUCCGGUGUAGCGGUGAAAUGCGUAGAUAUCGGAAGGAACAUCAGUGGCGAAAGCGGCUUCCUGGACCAGAACUGACGAUCAGGCUCGAAAGCGUGGGGAGCAAACAGG
rnacentral:rRNA from 1 species